GGUGGGCACUCUAAGGAGACUGCCGGUGACAAACCGGAGGAAGGUGGGGAUGACGUCAAGUCAUCAUGGCCCUUACGGCCUGGGCUACACACGUGCUACAAUGGUCGGUACAGAGGGUUGCCAAGCCGCGAGGUGGAGCUAAUCCCAGAAAACCGAUCGUAGUCCGGAUCGCAGUCUGCAACUCGACUGCGUGAAGUCGGAAUCGCUAGUAAUCGCGAAUCAGAAUGUCGCGGUGAAUACGUUCCCGGGCCUUGUACACACCGCCCGUCACACCAUGGGAGUGGGUUGCACCAGAAGUAGCUAGUCUAACCUUCGGGAGGACGGUUACCACGGUGUGAUUCAUGACUGGGGUGAAGUCGUAACAAGGUAGCCGUAGGGGAACCUGCGGCUGGAUCACCUCCUUA
rnacentral:rRNA from 1 species